AACAUUGUGGACACGUCUAGUAUAUUUUCUAUUUUUUUUUCUUCAGCGGGUGGAGGACUUGGUACGGGUCCAGUGCUGGUUGAACCUAAAGAUAUGUCAUACGUGAGAUGGAAAUUCUGGGAAUUUGAAAUGGUAUCAGGCUGCUUUGGAGGGUUCAAAGUGGCAGUGUAUGUGGCUGUUAUAAUUAGCACUGUGACUACUAAAAAUGUGUUACGCGUCUCAUGUGGGAUUCCCUUCUUUCCACGACUUGCUAUUGUUGCAAUUUUUUGAAGAACUGACACCUUUCCUUUUAAAGAUUCGAUGGGGAUUGAAGAGAUGGAGGCUUUGGGAAGCGAGGAAGAGGAACCACGCAAACCUCCUGCUUUGCUUAUCAUAUCUUUAAUGGACUCCUUAUAGUCCACUCUCCCUUCAUCCAAUGGGUAUUGUGAUGGGAUAUCAAGUGCAGUCAAUCCCUCCGCAUUUUUGGCAUUGAUAUGGUCUCCACACAAGCGUUUCAGCAGUACUUUUACCACCUGUUAAUUAGAAUAUUCAUACAAGUAACCUUUGAGUAUAUAUAUACAUAAAUAAUUUUACUAGCAAAAUUAUCAUACCUGAGGUCUGUUUCUGAUAGUAGCAACAUGUAAAACAGUGUUGCCAUCAAUGUCUGCCCAACUCAGUAGUUCUUUCUCCCAACGGUUGGCAGCUUUAUGGCGGCUCCUUAUAAGCCACCCCACCAAGACUUGGAAAGCUUCAAACCUGUCAUUUUUUACGGCAAGAUGGAAAACCGUCUCAUCUCGAACAGUCACAUCUUCAAUAGCCUCGGGGCAAACCUCAAGGAACUUGAUCAAAAAAUCAACAUUUCCAUUUUGAACCACAUGAUGCAAAGGAGUGAAGCCCUCCCGCCCUUUGACACGAACAAGGCCUUCAUCAAACCUGAGGAGUCGAAGCACUGCUAGAGUUUUUUGAUUUUGCAGAGCCAAGUGCAUGGGGCUAAACCCAGCUUGGUUUAGCUUUCUUGCAAACGAUGGCUUUAAGUUGAUCAUCUCCAUCAUAAAAUCAAUAUGCCCUGCAGAAGCUGCUACAUGCAAAGGAGUAUGGAAAAAAGGUACAUCAUCGAUACGCUGUAAAACAUAUGGAUCAUUCAGAAUUAACUCAUACAAGAUGUUUAUGUCUCCUGUUUGUGCAGCACCUAUCAUCCUCUCAUCCAUAGCAAGGUGCGGAAAUUUGCAGAAUAUAGAAAUGGAGUGAAGAAAAAACGCUUUAGCAGAGGAUAUGAUUAUGUUAAGGAUAUAAUGAAGUGUUUGAUUAUUUUUUCCAGAUGAAGUGUUAGACAUUUUAUAGCACUUAAUUAUUUUGGAUUUAUAUGUGAUGUCAGCCUCUACACGUAUAUACGUGAAUGUCACCUAUUAGAAAGAAAUAGUAAUUAAAUUCAUAUUUAAUAUACAUUUUUAAUCUAAUUUUUUUAAUUCAAUUUAAUUUUAGUUAAAACGUUUAAAAACAUUUAUUUAAUCUAAUUUCUUUAAUAUAUUAAAUAAAAAAGAAAUAUUAAAUAAAUUGGAUUAGAGAAUAUAUUGAAUAUGGAUGAAUACUGUAUCAUACUAAUUUUAUGUCUCUAAAAAUUUUAUAUAUUAUUUAGUGGUUUAAUUUUUUAAGAACAUUUGAUAUAAUUCAUAAAGAAAACAAAUAAUAAUUAAUAAUAAAUUUUUUAAUAAAAAAGGUGUGAAAAAUGGUAAGUAGAUAAUAGCUAUUAUCGCUUACAACAUGUUUGGAUUAAAAAGAAGAAAAAAGAAGGGAAAAUUAAGUAAAUUGAGGGAAAGAAAAUUCGGUUUCUUUGUUUAAGUAAAGAAAAUUAAGUAAAUUUUUUAUCGUAUCAUUAGAUUUUAUAUUUUAGAUUAUUAUCUCUUCUUCUUCUUUUUAACUUGUAACAAUCUUAUUUUUAUUUUCUAUUUUUUUAGGUUACUAGAAAUAUUUAAUUUUAAAUUUGUUUGAUAUAUAUUUUUAAAAAUUUUAACAAUAUUUUUUUAUUAACUAUUUUGUUAAAUUAUUAGGAAUCCUUCAUUUAUAAUUUGGUUAAGAUUUUUUUUUUAGUUUGAUCAAAUAAGCUUAUUAAAAAAAGAAUAUACCAAUAUAUUAUUGGUUAACAUUUUAAUUAUUAUUUUAUAUAGAAUAUUGAUAUUUUUCUAUAAAUUUAAUUUGCUGUGAUUUAAUUUUGUUAUUAUAUAUUAUUUAUGAACUGUUAAAAUUAAAAAAUAAAAGUAAAAUAAUUCAUUUUCUUUCCUUUUCACAGUUUAGCAAAACAAGUCCACAGGCUCGUCUCAUUCAAAAAAAGUAAAUUAUAUAUAUAUAUAAGGGCUAGUUUUAACAAAUGAAAAAUAUAGAAAAACUAUAUUAAAAGAAAUGGGGAAGGGAAAAGAACAGAGGGAGAAACAGAAGAGAAUGAAAAAUAAAGAAAAGUUAAAAUAACAUAAAAAAAAUUAAGGGUGGGUUUGGAUGGGCGAUUGGGUGCGGUGCGGUGCGUUUAGCUUAUUUUUUGUCUCACACUACAGUGUCGCUACAGUAUCUAAUCUCACCGCCACCGCUGUUUUUACACUAACUGCAGGUAAACGCACCGCCCAUCCAAACCCACCCUAAAUUGAAUUGCUCAAAACGAAAAAAUUAUAGGAAUCGGUUGUAUAAAUCACCCUAAAAUUUUUGUUUGAAAGAUGAUUUAACAUGUCACAUCAGUUUAUCGUUACACCAUUAACGGAAAUUAACAGCUCAGUGACUAAAAUGUUACAACGUGAUAACGUAAAUGACUAAAAUGUAACGUUUCAAACAUAAGUGACUAAAAUGUAAGCAAAAGUGACUAUUUUAAUAAUUUACCCUUGCAUUUAUCCAAACAUACGCUUAACGUAAACAUUUUUUUAAUUAUUUUUAUUUUAUUUUAUUUUUUACCAUUAUCCGUUAUCCUUAUUUUUAAAAAGUAUAAUUAAUAAAUAGUAUAAUUAUUUUUUAAAAUUAAUUUUAAGUAAUACACCAAAUAGAUUUUAUAACUUAAAUUUAAUAUUUAAUUUUAUAAUUUUUUUUUAUCAAACAACGUUUACUCCUAAGUAAAUAAAUAAAUAAAGGCCUUGUGUAAUUAAGAAAGUUGAGAAAGAGUUAGUCCUCACAUUGGCUAAAAUAACGGAGGAAAGAGAAAAAUUGGCCAAUAAUGGGGAGGCAAUGUCAAUGAGCAUACCCCACACAUACUAUUUACUGUCAAUGGUGAUGGCUGAAUUGGCUACUAUACAUGGAUUUUGUUUUCCUUUUCUUUUUUGUUCUUGUCCUGUAUUAUUUGCAUUUGUGAUCCCAAACUAUGUAAAAUUCCAGUCACUAUGUGAUCACAUUUUAAAAAAAAAAUUAUUUAUUAUCGAUUGAGUAUCAGCUUGAUUGGUAUAAAUAUUAUUGUUAAUGUAUAAGAACAUAAAUUUGAGUGUGUUAAAGCGCAUUAUCCUCUUAUUUAUAGAUUGAGAAGUGGUUAUUGGUAGUUCUAGACAUUGUGUAGAAAAGAAUACAUAUAAUCAGAAUCUAUAUUAAAAUUUUUCAAAAAAAUAUAUUUAUUACACAUGAAUUAAAAGAAAUCUAUUUAUGGGUAGUUCAAGAUUGUUGAAGCUAUAAAAUAAAAAUUCAAUUCGAAAAUAUAAAUCUCUUUUGUUUAACAAAAUAUUAAUAAUUAGUUGAGUUAAUAUUAUGAGUCAAUCGAACACCAAUUUAAUUAAGAAAUUACGAAAAUAUCGUUCCAUAAUUAAAAUAAAUUAUAUUAUUUGAGGAUAUUUUAAUAUUUUUUAUGUAAAAAAAAAUCAAUAAAAAUAUGAAUAUGAUGGGAUUUGAAAUAAAAUCUAGAAUUUACCACUCAACCAAAAUUUUAUUUUAUUAUAUUUUAUACAUUUUUAUUUUAAUAAGCACACUUUAUUAUCUCCGUCAGUUAUAUAUAUAUUAAUAAAUUUAUUGAUUGAGUUGAUAUCACAAGUCAACUCAAUACUAACCGACAAUUGAAGACAACACUUUGAUAGACAGUUGUAGUGCAUUUAAUUAAUAUUUUUAUUUUGAUGUAUUUAUGUGUUUAAAUUUUAUUUUUGCUCCCAAAUUAAUUUAAUUUUUUAUUUUAAUGUCAUACAUAUUUUAUAUAUUCUUAUGAUUAAUUAGCUUCAAACCAUAUGUUUUAUUAUUUAUUUUAUUUUUUUAAGCAUAUAUCUGUAUUCCAAAUCUAAACGCAAUUGCUUAUGUUAGUCAAUGUUACAAAUUGAGAAAUUUAUUAAAACUAUUGAAAUCUUCACAUCUAACCUGGUUUUAUCAUGUUUGGAAGACGCUAUUGAUCUUCUUCAAGUGGUUUUUUCACAAAUAUACUAUUCAUAUAUAUAAAAUAUGAUGAGUAAUAAUGUAUAGUGACGUGUCCAAACACUAAUUGAUGAAAAAAGUGAGUAAUAUUUUAUUACAACAUGAUGCCUUUUCAUAGUAUAAAAUGACUAUGCGAAUGAGGGCUUCCUACCAUUACCAGAAAGCUGAGGCUGUAGGAAUGAUGGCUUUUGCAAGUUGUGAUUUUAGGAUUUUGUGUUUGAUUAUUGUUUAGUUAUGCUAAAAUGUCACAUAUGGGUACUGUUUUAAGUUAUGUGUGAAUUCUAAGUUGAAUAUGUAGCCGCCUAAAAUAUUUAGGAGCGCUAAUUGAGAUCAUUACGAAAGAAAAUUGUAUUCUAACGGUGUAUGAAAAUUUGGACAAAAAUCUCAACUUUUUAUUUUUUUUUAAAUUUUAUUUUUGCUCCCAAAUUAAUUUCAUUUUUUAUUGUUGUACAUAUUUUAUAUAUUCUUAUGAUUAAUUAGCUUCAAGCCAUAUGUUUUAUUAUUUAUUUUAUUUUUUUAAGCAUACAUCUGUAUUCCAAAUCUAAACACAAUUGAUUAUGUUAAUUAAGGUUACAAAUUGAGAAAUUUAUUAACACUAUUGAAAUCUUCACAUCUAACCUGCUUUUAUCAUGUUGGGUAGAUGCUAUUGAUCUUCUUCAAGUGGUCUUUCACGAGUAUACUAUUCAUAUAUAUAAAAUAUGAUGAGUAAUAAUGUAUAGUGACUGUCCAAACACUAAUUGAUGAAAAAAGUGAGUAAUAUUUUAUUACAACAUGAUGCCUUUUCAUAGUAUAAAAUGAUUAUGCGAAUGAGGGCUUCCUAACGAUGGCUUUUGCAAGUUGUGAUUUUAGGAUUUUGAUUGUUUGAUUAUUGUUUAAUUAUGCUAAAAUGUCAUAUAUUUGUGAGCCCUACACUCACAUCAAAUUUAGAUAUGACAAACAUGAUUUAAAACAAAACCAUAUUAUAUUACUAGCUGUGAGCAAUUUAAAGAAAUUGAAUUUCUUUUUUACAAUUUUAAGUUAAUCAAUUAUUUGAUUUUUUAAAAUUAACUUGAAUGAGUGAUUUUGUUUUUCAAGUUUAAGUCAAGUUGAAUUUUACAACUCAAAUAUAAAUAUCUCUUGGGUCACUGAUAGUUUUAAAAAUGUACAAACUGAUCUGUCUCAAAAAUUUUAAAAAUUCAAAAUGAUCUUCUAAAACUCAAAAUAUUUAUAAAAUAUUUUCCCAAAAUUUUAUAAAUACAUAUAAAUUCAAAGAAUUUACCACUUAAAAAUAUAUAAAAAAUAUUAAAUUAUAUUUUUUGAAAAAAUUAAUAAAAUAAAUUUGAGGUCUUAAAUAAGUAACUUAUUAAUUCAAUUUUAUCAUACUAAUUAUCUUGUAUUCCAAGAGUUUUCAUAUAUAUCAGGGGCGAAGCCAGAAAAUUUUUUUUUAGGGGGGCAAAAUGAAUUUUUUAUUUUUAAUAGUCUAUAUCUUUAUAUUAAUAUUUGAACUGGUAUAAAUUAAGAUUGUUACGUCUAACAUUUAUAUCGAAUAAUUUUUACUAUAGAGAAAAGAAGUAAAAAUAAUAAUAUAUGAUGUAAAAUUAUUAAUUUGAGUCUUAACACAGUCGGUAUUUGUAUGUUGUUUAUGUAAUAUGGAGUGAGUUCAAGUAUGUUCAUGUGUAAUUUUUCUUUCUAUUUAAAGGUUGGAGAGGAGUUAGGGUGAAGCUAGAAUUUAUUUUUUUUGGGAGACGAAAUUAAGUUGUAUAUUUUUAUGAGAGUUAAAAUACAAUUUCACAAUUUCAAUAGAUUAUAUGUUUACAAUUUUUAAAGAACUAAAUCAAUAUUUUAUCAUUUUUUGGGGCUAAAGUACAAUUUUACCAUUUAUUAACUUAAAAUUUUAUAAACUUAAUUUAAAGGGUUAAAAUUUGAAUUUCACAUUUUAAAGGGAGGGAUAGAAACCCUUCUAGGCUCCCCUCUUGCCGCCCCCCUAAGAUGAUAUAAAGUAAAGCAAUAAGUGUCUAAAAUAUAUGAAUUAUGAGUACUGAUUACACUUGACCAAUUGCUUUUCUUCAAACAAAGCAAACACUAAUGCACAUGAAAAUGCAAAUUCACAUGCAACCUAGAUAUGCAUUCUAUAUACAAUGCAAUGCAAUGAAUAAAUAAAUAAAUAAAUAUAUAUUAUUUAAUCAUGAGAGUUUUGAUCCCCUUGUGAUUCUUUAACCAACCAUUCUCACACCUAAUUAUAAUUCUAGUAUAGUAAAAGUACGUGAGUGAGUUGAAUGGAUGGUGGUUGUUUGACAUAACAUGUAGAAAGUGAAAAAAUAGUUGAAAAUAAAUCAAGUAUUAAAACAAAAAAUUUAUGAAAGAAAUUCUAGUAUUAUCAAUUUUUCGUGAGGCUCAAAGCUAUUUGGAACAAAAAUAAAAUCAAUGUGUAUAGGCUUAACAAAAUAGCUAUCAUCUUGCAUUGUUAUUUCAUCCUAACCUCUUCCCUCAUAACUUCAUCUUCUAUUUUCUGUUUGACAUUAUCAAAAGUAAAACAUAGUUUUUUUAGGUUUUUCGACUAUUUAUGCAUCAAACUUUUAGGCCAUUUUGGACAUCUUCAUAAUGUUUUUGGGCUUUAAUCUAAGAAAUAAAUUUAGAUAGAUCUUUCAAGUCACAUCAACAUUUCAUAAAUGAUUUAAUAAAUGAGUAAUAAAAGGAUUUAGGGUUAAUGUGCAAAUUUGUCACUAUACUUCAAUUUGAUUGGUAUUUGAUAUUUGAUAUUGAAUUUUAUUGCUUUAAUUUAAUUGAAUUUUGCCACUAAAAUUAGAAUUUUUAUUGAAUUUUCUAUUCAAUUUAAAUUUAAAAUAACUUGAAGGCUAAGUUGAUUAAAAAAUAGUUUUAUAUUUCGCUUUAAUAUUAAAAAAUAAUAAGUUAAUUAAUAUAAUAUUAAAUUUAAAUAAAAUAGUUAUUUUAUAAAAUAAAUUUUUUUUUCUCUUUUAUGAGAUAUGGACUCAUUAACAAUAGAAAUUCUAAUUUAAUUUAUUAAUUUUUAAUAUUUAUAAGUUAAAUUAUUGUUAAAUAUUAAAAUAAAAUAUUUGAAAGAAUUUUUCUUAUUAUAUAUAUUAUGUUUUAAAAUCAUCAAAUUAAUAUUGAGUGGUAAAAAUUAAUUAAAAAAUUGAUUUGGAGAAAUUUUUUAAUAAAAUUGAAAAUUUAUAGUAAAAUUCAAUCACAUAAUAGUUGAUUGAUAAAUUUACACAAAAACUUAAAAUAUAGCUAUGAAUAUCAAUGAAAAUAAAGUAUAGUAGCAAAAUUCAAAGUAUAGUGACAAAUCAUAUAAGUUCAAUGAAUAAAAGAAAUAAAAAAUUAAAUAUAUGAUUAAAAAGAUUUUUUUUUUUUUACGAAAUUGAAAGAUCAAAUAAAUCAUUAUACGUAAUAUAAACAAAAUCACAAGUAUCCUUAAACUUGGCUUAAUUGCCAAUUAGACAAUUUAGGAUGUCAGAUGCAUAAUCAACAAUUUGGAGAUAAAAGGAUGAAUAACCAAGUAUUUUUAUAAAUAAAUUUGUUUUAGAAGAAUGGGAUGAGUUUUAGAGUAUAUAGAGAAGUAGGGUAGUUCUUCCUUCUCCGCAUAGUGGUUUUGCCUACAAUAAUGAAGCAAAGGGAAAAACACGAGGAUGAGAUGCAAUGAAUUCCCCUUGCAUACCCAAUACGUACUAUUUACUAUUUCUUUUCCCACUGAGAAGUUGGUAUUUUGGAAUUAUCGUUUUCAGCUCUACAAAUGUUCUUGGUGCUGUGUCUGUCUUUCUUUGGUGGGUUCUUGCUUUCUGAAUCUGGUUCUACUGUCGAUUUGGAUGGUUAGGAUACAGCGCUUCAGGCAACUGAUGUUCAAAAGGUUCGAUGGCAUUGGGGAUAUGAUGAUUUUAAGUUUAUUGUCGCCCCAUCAGUUGGUUGUUUGGGUGCACAACUAAAUUUUAGUAUUAUUUUAUUUUCCAUAAUUAUAUUUAUUUAAAUUUUAUAAAUAUUUUCUAAGUCUUAAGAUUUUAUUUUUUGCAUUUUAUGAUUUCUUUUUUUGGAUUUUUAAUGGUUUUUAAAUUUUUAUAAUUUUUCUAAAAUGUUUUAAGUAUUUUGAUUGUGUGAGGUUUUGUGAAUGAAGCGAAGGGUAUCUUUAUUGUGGUGAACUUUUAAUUAGCUCAAAAUGAAGUGAUUUAUUACGUCGUGUGAUUUACGGAUAAGUGUUAAAAAUGAAAUGAAUUGUUGAAUUUGAAAACAAUGGUGUAAUAUUGCAGGGAUUUCCAACAUUAUCAUAAAUUUUAGUGAAUUUAGAGACGAAAUCACAGGUCCACUGAGUUUUGUUCAAAUUUAGGGAUUUCAUCGUCAUAUACGGUCGAUUUGGAUAGUUAGCAUACAAAGCUUCAGAUCAUUGAUGUUCAAAAGGUUUGGUGGCCAUGGGUAUAUGUUGAUUUUGAGUUUAUUGUUGCCCCAUAAGUUAGUUGCACUAAAAAAAUGGGUAUUACCGAUGCUAAAAAUUGUUACUAAAAUUUUAUUGUAGCAAUAAAAGUUGUUGCGGGAUUGUUGUGUAUAUCUUUGUUGUCUAAAAUAUAUGCAACUCUACUCAAUUACACAAUAUUUACUCUUAAAUAUGACCUAUUCAACCACCGAUUUCAGCACAUUAAACACAAAUUAAUAAUCUAGAAAUAUCAAACCAAGAAUUAAAUACACAUAAUUGAGAACAAUAAAUUAAGUGUUUAUUGCAUAAAAUAAAAAAUAAAUGAUAGAAUCCAUCAUAGAGUUCACCUCCCUAGGUAUUUAGAAAAUUAGUUCAAGCUUGAAAAUAAAAACAUCCAAGAAAUAGUACAACCAAAAGAAAUAAAGAAAUUCAUGAUAAUCUCCUAAGAAAUCAACUGAGAAUCUUCAAUCUUGACAGAAAUUUGCUUCCAACUUGGCUUCAAUGGUAUUUUUCGAGUUGUUUUCUUGAAUAUUUUAUGACGGCACUCUCAUAUCUUCUUAAUUUUGUCAUAUAUACGUCUUAGAAUGCCCAAAAAACUUAAAAAUUGUGAUUUUAUGCUGUUUGUGUGGCAAUUCCACGAAAUCGACACAGCCUACUACACACCAGUGUGGGUCAUACGACUGUGUGCUUUCCUCGUGUGAAAUUUAGAAAAUGCAAAAGAUUCCCUAUGCACUAGCUGCUGGAAUCUAAUGUAUGCUCAAGUAUGUAUGCGUCCAGAUAUUGCAUACAUUGUUGGGAUGUUAGGCAAACAUUUAAGCAACCCUGGUAUAGACCAUUGGAUAACAACUGAAAGGGUUAUGAGGUAUCUUUAGAGAACAAAAUAUUACAUGCUCACAUAUUGGAUGUUUGAUAAGUUAGAGAACAUCAAGUUUACAGACUCCAAUUUUGAUGGAAUAUUGAUGCAACAUUUUGCCACUAGAGUGCAAACUGUGACAAUAAUUAGUAGUCUCUUAUUCCAAUAACAAUAAAAGCACAUCAAAGUCAAAGCACAUAGACUUUAAGUUCAUAGUUGUUAAAAUAAAAGUUCAGGGUGGUUAGAUGUCUAUAAAGUAUAUUGAGACAAACUUCAUGAUUGCGGAUUCGCUUACUAAGGGACCACCACCCAAAGUUUUUUUCAUGAGCACACUAUUGAUAUGAGUGUAAUGUCAUUCACUACAGAAUAAGUUUUUAGUGGCGUUAUUUUGGGGCUAUAACUGCCUUAUAAGCGUCGCUAAAACAACUUGCGGCGUUUUGAAAAGCACCGCUAAAAACGCCACUAUAGAACAUGACCUUUAGGGGCGCUUUUCCCACAAAUGCCGCUAAAAGUAUGACCUUUAACAGUGUUUGUGGGGCAAACGCCACUAAAGAACAUGACCUUUAGCGGCGCUUUCUCCACAAACGUAACUAAAUGUCAUGUUCUUUAGUGUCGUUUUUAGUAAAAGCGCCGCUAAAAUUCAUGUUCUUUGGCGACAUUUGUGGAAAAAUGCUACUAACUUUAGCAGAUUUUUACCAACCCAUUUUCAUUCAUAUAGAAUCCUAAUUGUUAACAUAAUUUCCUGUAACAUCAAAUCCAACCAAAAACUAAAAAUUUAAAUGAUACUUCAAUUCCAACGAAAGAAAUAUGUAUGUGAUCUAAAUCAGUAAAUGAAAUAACAAAAUAUAUUAUAUUCAAAAGUUAUAUUGUUAAAAUAUUCUCACAAUAAGAAAACAAACAUCUAAGAUGAUGGAUUCUACGACUGUUGAAACAUCUUCAUCAUAUUCUGAAGCUGUAGCUGGAGUUUGUCAUAUUUUUUGCUUGCCCCUGCUUCCCUUGCUGCCGCCUCCGCUUUAAGUUAUAGUUGGAGUUUUUCAUAUUUUCUUUAAGUCUUUGCUUUUCUCGAUGCUGCCUCCACUUUAAAUUGAGCAAUUUGCUCAACUGUGCUCGCUUGCAUUUGAACCAUCUGGUCUCUUAACCUCUGAACUUCAGCUUGAGCCUGAUUCUCUGAAGGCAUGUAUUGUUGCGAACUGGAUCCAAAAUAUUGGGUUGGGUUAACAAAAUAUCCUUGAAAUCAAACCCGACCAUACUUUUCGAGACCCAAAACUUCGGUAAUAAUUCAGUUAUCAAUGUCAUCAAUAUUAACAGAACUAUCACUUGAAGCGAUCGCUUCAUACUCUGCCCUUUUAUCCUUUAGUUUCUCCUAAUAAAUCAACCAAAGAGUUAGAAACGAAAUAUAUAAUCAAAACAAAUGCAAUAUAACUUUGGGAGUCUAAUGUAUGCUCAAGUAUGUAUGUGUCCGGAUAUUGUGUACAUUGUUUGGCUGUUAGGCAAACAUUUAAGCAACUCUAGUAUAGGCCAUUGGAUAACAAUCGAAAGGGUUAUGAGGUAUCUUUAGAGAACAAAAUAUUACAUGCUCACAUAUUGGAUGUUUGAUAAGUUAAAGAACAUCAAGUAUACAGACUCCAAUUUUGAUGGAAUAUUGAUGCAAAAUUUUGCCACUAUAGUGCAAAUUGUGACAAUAAUUAGUAGUCUUUUAUUCCAAUAACAAUAUAAGCACAUCAAAGUCAAAACACAUAGACUUUAAGUUCAUGGUUGUUAAAAUAAAAGUUCAGGGUGGUUAGAUGUCUAUAAAGUAUAUUGAGACAAACUUCAUGAUUACAGAUUCGCUUACUAAGGGAUUACCACCCAAAGUUUUUUUCAUGAGCACACUGUUGAUACAGGUGUAAUGUCAUUUAAGGAUAUUUGACUUUAGUGGGAGUUUGUAUUUUUAAAUUUUUUUAUGUUACAGACACAUCGGUUAUCUCAGUUUACGAAUAUUAAGUUUAUUUUCUUUAGAAAUAAAGUUUAUUUGGUAAAGUUUGACCUCACUAAGGUUAAGGAGGACCAUUUAGAAUAGGCAUGUUUGAAUCAUAUUGCAUGUAAUUUUCAUGUUACACAUCCAUACUUGAUCUAUGUCAUUUGGUUGUGCUAAUAUAUGUUAUUAGGGAUGGAUUUAGUUAUGAUAUAUGUAACAAAAGUCACAUUCGUUCUAUGUUAACUUAAUUAAUGAAUGAGAUUAUUUGGAAUACCUUUUGGAUAUGAUAGUAAAGUUUUGAGCUCAUAAAUUUAUAUAAUGACAUGUAAUUAUAAGGUAAUUGGUAUAUAUAUGUGGCCAAGUGGUAUGGACAUCACAUAUAUAAUAAGCCUAAUUACUCCAAAAUCCUUGCAGCCCUUUAAUGACUUUUAAGCAAUCAUAACCAUUUUAUUUACAGGUCAUUUGUAUGAAGGAACUUUGUGGUCAUGAUCGAGAGAUUCGAAUUUAGCAUAUUUACAGAGAAGGAAAUCUUGUUUCAGAUUUCUUGGCCCAUAUGGGAUUCCGGCUUUGAUCUAAGUUUACUACGAGAGCCACCUGGAAAUGCUCUCUCAAUUUCAACUAUACUAUGUGAUGAUAUUGCUAGUUCUUUGCCCUAUCGCCUGUGCUCAUUUGUGGUUAAUUAGUUUGUAAUAACCCAAAUUUGCCCAGGCUUACAACCCAAAAAUAAACAGAAAUAAAACCCAAAAAUAAAUAACAAGGCCCAAAUAAUAAUAGCCCACAAAACUUAAAAAAAAUCCAGCCAACUGAAACCCUAAUGCCCUCAUAUACGCCGCACCUCCUCCUCGGACACACUGCUCGUACCUCGUCCCAAGGUCUGACUCUUCCCAUAACAGCCCAAUUUUCAAUGAUAUCAGAAACAAUGAUUUUGGAUCACUAAAUCUGAUAAGUAAGCUUGAAAAUUUAAUAAUUAAUAAUUACGGGUCAAGUGUGAAUUUAGAAGAAUUUUUGAAUUAGUGAAUUUUGUUAUUUAAAAAGAAUUUAAUAGGUAAAUCGGGUCUAAAAUGAGGUAUCGAGACCUCGAAUCCAUAAGUCAACACAUAAAUAUUUUUAUAAAUAUUUAUGGAGUGCCAUUGAGUUAGUAUUAAAGUUUCAUCAGAAAAUUUUAACGUUUUGAUAGUCAAUUAAUUAAAAAGGACUAAAUAGAAAAGAUGCAAAACUUGCUAAAGUGAUUAAAUAGCCUAAAAAUUAAAUAAGGAAGGCCUAAAAGAUAAAAUGGACCAAUUUAAGUGGCUGAGGUGGCAUACGGUUAAAAAAAUUAAAGAUUUUUAUGUAUUUAAGGGCAAAAUUGGAAUUACAAUAAAGUUUAUGUGGCCAAAAUUUAUUUUAAGGAUUUCAAGACCAUUUCUUCUUGAAAUUUCGGUGUAAAACAGCCAUGGAAGAGGAUUGAGAGCUGAUAUUUUAUAUUUUAGCUUCAAGUUCAAUUCUUGUUUUUCCCUUGAAAUUUUUAUAUUUUUGGACUUUUACAAUUAGGUCCAACUUAGUAUUCUAUUAGUUUUUUAUUUUGUUGAAAGUUUUGGAAGAUACCAUUGAUAAGUUCAUAUGAUUUUUAUUAUUUGGUGAUGAAAUUGAGAUGUUAAUGGAUGUUUAAAGGUGUUUUAUUAAAUAAUUUUGGAUGAAAAUAUGUUUUAGGGAUUAAAUUGAAAAGUAUUGAAUUUGUGGAAAAUUCUAAAAUUUUAAGAAAUCCAUGGGCUUUCAUUGACAUGUAUGCGAAUGAUUAGGCUUGUAUCAAUGAUUAAAUUGAAAUAAUUUCAUUUUCCGAGCCUAGGGAUGAAAUCGUCAUGUAUUAAAAGUUUAGGGUCAAAAUGGUAAUCAAUAUAUUGCACUAAAAUAGUUUUGGGUAGUAGUAGUGUGCCAACUUUGAAAAAUCACCAAAAACUGUGGGAAUCGAAUUAGAAGAUGAGUAAAAGAUGAAAUUAAAGCUUAUUGUGUCUAGUUUCUCAUAGAAGAAACAGUGUAAGCAAUGGAAUUAUAAAUCAUGAGAUAUAAUAAAUUUUGUGAGACAGAGUCAGAAUAAUUUUGGAAUCCCCUGUUCUAAUUUUGGAAAAUCAUUAAAAAUUGUAUAAAAAUAAUUAUGAGUUAUAGUUUAUAUGUUUAAAAUCCUGAAAGAGUUUAUUUUCAAGAGAAACAAACAAGAACAUCACCCAAACUCUGUACAAUGAGAUAAUUACUUUUUGGUGAAGAGAGGUCAGAACUGUCAAACAGUGAAACAGGGGAGAAUUUAAAGAAUAAACUGUAUUUAUUGGCUAAGCCAAAAAUUCUAAAAAUUUUAUGGUAAAAUGAUAUAUGAGACUAGUUUCUGGAAAAAUUAACAAAUCUUAAUUUAGAGCUUCGUAGCUCGAGAUAUAAAUAAUUUAGUGACUCUGACUCGGAUAGACAACUUUGAAUUUAUGUAUAAGUAAAUCGUGAAAAUAUAGUUAAUGUUAUUUAAGCAUGUUAUAUACAUUAAGGAUGUGGAAUGGAGAGGAGGAGGAGGAAAAUUGGAAAAUAUAUGAAUGACUUGUGUAUGAAUUGGUCAUAUGCCUGAUUAUAAUCGAUAAACGUUGAAUUUGAAAUGAUAUAAUGUUUUAUUUCAAAUAGUUAUUAUGAAAUUAUGAUUAUCAUUAUGUUACAAAAUUUAAUUGUAAGUUCAUAUGGCAGAAUUUUAAUGAUUAAUUGUUAAUUUCAUAAUUAUAUAAUAUAUGAUGGGAUAUAAUUGUUGAUGAAUUGAGAAUAAAAUAACAAUGCGAAAAUCGAAUAAAUGAUCAAAUUUAGUGGAACGUCGGAUUUGAGUACUUCUGAUCAGUGACAAGUGAUAUAUGAUUUCCGUGUAAGACCAUAUUUGGGAUAUGGCAUCGUUGUGACAUGUGUUUCCGUGUAAGACCAUAGCUCGGCUAUGGCUUCGGUGUGUGAUAUGUAACGAUGUGCAAUACCAUAGCUAUACUAUGGCAAUGUGGAAACAAAGUACUCAAUUCCAUAAGACGUUCUCUAAUUUAUCAAAUUGUGGUAAGUGUUAAGCAAAUUUUAUGUGAUAAAACAUAUUGAACAGUGAAAUUGAGCUGAAUUAUGUGAUCUCAUCAUUCAGAGAUUGUGUUUGAUAGGUUAUGUUAAUAAAUUAUGUGUAUGUGAAUUUAAGUGACAGAAAUUAAACAGCUAAUGAUAUUGAGCUCAUUUACAUGAAUCUGUCAUUUGAAAUUGUGAUUGACAGAAAGAAAUAGUGAAUUGAAUAUGAAAAUGUGAAUAGAAAGCACAAACUAAAUGUUCUUGCGAUAAAUAAUGGCUCAAUGUGAUAGUAAAUGAUGUUAAUCUAAUGAAAGUUAAAUUGAAUUGUAAAUGACUUGAAUUAUCCGAAAAUGUUCUAUAAUCUCUGGUAAUGUCUCGGAACCCUAUUUCGGUGACAGAUACGGGUAAGGGGUGUUACACUUCCCCUGGCCACCUUGCCUAGCCUUGUAAAACAAAAUAGAAGAAGAAGAUAGAAGCGAAAAUAGCAGGGGAUAGCAGAAAAUAGUAGCAUAAUCGGCUGUAAAAGCCCCAAUGAAAUGUAAUUUAUUUUUUUUCUACGGAUAAUCAAAUAUUAAGAGAACAAAAUAUCAAUCGAAAAUCCUGAAGGUUUACUUCUACUGUUGUUUUAAGUUUUGGUUCAUUUUUAUUCUGCCUUUUAUUUUUCAUUUUUUUACAUACAAAGAAAGGAAAAAGAAACAGAAAUAAAAUACCAUAGUUUUAAAACAACAAAGGAAUUUCUUUGCAUAUUUAUCGAAAAUAGAGCAUAUAUACAUAGAUAUAUUCAAAAAAACACAAGUUUUUUUAACCUCUGUUGUGACUGAAGAAGGUGGAACCAAAUGGUUUUUUUUCGCCUUUUCUGAAUUUCAAAGGGGUUUCUUAGGAUUUUAACCUCGGAUUGAGAUUUGGGAGGCCGAAUAGGUCGAAAAGGGGCCUUUUUUUGAACUCCGGUCGACGUAUACGGCGGCAUACGGUGGUGGAUGACGGUGGACGGACGGUUGCCCAGUGACUAGGGUACAGCUAGACCACGACCGGAGGAAAAGGGAUUGAGAGAGAAUCCCCUGAUUUUUUUUGGAAAAAGAAGAAAAUGAAAUUUUUAAAAAAAAAUUGACUUAACUAGGGCCCCUAAACGGCGCCAUUUAGGGCUGGUCAUAAUAGCCCUAAAACGAUGUCGUUUUGCCCAAGACCCGCGCAUGUGACCCGACCCGCCAGAGGAUCCGCGUGUUUUUAACUUUUGGGCUAUUUGCGCUUUAGGCCCUUCAUCAUUUUUGGUCUAUUUCAAUUUAGUCCUUUUGCAUUUUUUCUUUAUUUUUUAAUUUAGACCACAGAUUUGUCUCGGUUUUCAAUUUGGUCCUCAAUUCGUUGGACCCCUGGGGAGGAGAUGCGUGGCCUGGAAAACUGGUUUAUUACCCAUUUGGCCCUCCUCCCUCUCGCGCUCUUUCAUUUUGGUCUUUCUUUAUUCAUUUUAUUAUAGCUUUGACCUUUAAAUUUCAUUUUUAUCCCGAGUUAGUCCAUCUUUGUUAUUUUUGUUAUAUUAUUAAUUAAUCUAAUUAUUAUCAUACUUAUAUUUUCUUUUUAUAUUUACUUAUUAUAUUAUUAUAUUAUACUAUUAGUUUUGUAUUAUUAUUAUUAUUAUAUUAUUAUUAUAUUUAUAUUUAUAUUUACUUAUCUAAAUUUUAAAUAUAUUUUGUCUUAGUAUAUAUUAUUAUGUAAUUACUUAUAUCUUUUGUAUUUUUUUAACUCUAGAUUAUUCGCUAUUCUAUUAUUAAUAUUAUUAUUGUUAUUAUUUACUUAUUUAUAUCCUUUUUAUUUCAAACUUUGUUAUAUAUAUACAUACAUACAUAUAUUAUUUUUUAUAUUUUUAUAAUCUUAUUUAUUUUCAUUAUUGUUAUUAUUGUUUUACUUGAUAUUUAUUUAUUUAUGUGUCCAUUAUUAUUUUAAGAAACAUUUUAGUUCUGUUUGUUUAUUUACUUGUUAUUUUAUGUAUAAUUGAUUUGUCCCCUUUUUUUAUUUAUUUAUCUUAUUUUCGUUGUUGUUGCUCGUAUUAUUUAUGCUUACAUCAUUGUAUUUAUUAUUGUUUUGUUACGCAUAUUAACCCCGUGUUUUAUUUCUACCAUUUCGUGUUAGAUUAAUCUCAUUUGAUGCAUAAAUCAUGACUUUAAAACAAGUAAAACUAGAUAUUUUGAGAUCCGAAAAGGUCGUGCCCUAACUUACGGGGCUUUGAUUUUCUCGAUAAAUUCAAAUACACGAAUCUUUUCAAACAUAAGUUUUUUAAGUGAUCUCGGGAAUUAAUAAAAGAUCGGGUUCUAACUUACGGGACUUGAUUUCUUUUCCAAACCCGAGAUAAUCAAAUCGAAUAUCCUUCAAAUAAAUAAAGCUUUUGGCAUUUAUUCUCGAAUCAAGUAUUUAAAUAUAUUGUGUCCUAACUUACGGGAUAUAAUUCUCUUUCUCGAUUAACGCGAAAUAUGCCCUUUUCUUGAAAACUUUCAGCAUUUUAACAAAGGAUUGUAUUUUGAAUCUUUUCAAAGUUUCCAAUUCUCGACACUAAGACACUAAUUAAUCAACCAGGUACCAAUUUCUAGGCGUUAUGAGGGUGCUAACCCUUCCUCGUAUGUAACCGACUCCCGAACCCAUCUUUCUGAAUUUCGUAGACCAAAAGCGUUGUUUUAAUAAAUCGAACCGUUUUGUUAAAAAUAACCAUUUUUUGAGUUGACCUGAUCACACCUCCUCAAAAAAGGAUUGGUGGCGACUCCCAUAUUCAUUUUCGUUUUAAAAAUCCAAGUCGACCUCUUUUAUCAAAAAAUGGUUUCGACAUAGUUGUUAAGGCUUUUGCCUCUUUCUUUUAUUAAAAAAAAAAGCUGGGCACGAUGAAUCGACCUUAGCUAGUAAAAAACUUCAAUCACCGAAUUGCAUAAAAUUCUAACUUAAAUUCAAAUGCAGAAGCAGGAUCGUUUAUCAAUCCACAAUAUCAACAAAUCUCAAUUCAAACACAAAAUUAACCGGUGAAAAAAAAUAGUUCAACCCAUAAACAUUUACCACAAAGGGAAAUUUGAAACACUUACCACCAUUCCCCUAUCAGAAAGUCUUACCCACAUUCAACAACUAGAAAUCAGAGCUCACCAAAAUGUUUAUGACGAAGCCAUUUUUUUGAAAAGGGUCGACUUUUUAUUUAAAAACGAAAAAGGGAGUCACCACUAAUCAUUUUUAUGAGGUGUGAUCGGGUCACCUCGUAACGGUUUAAUUGAUUAAAAUAAAAAUUUUGGUCUACAAAAUUUAGAAAAAUGGGUUCAGGAGUUGGUUACGUACGAGGAAGGAUUAGCACCCUCGUAACGCCCAAAAUUGGUACCUAAUUGAUUAAUUAAUGUCUUAAUGUUGAAAAUUAAAAACUUGAAAAGAAUUUAAAAUACGAUCCCUCUUUAUUAAUGUUAUUUUUUAGUUAAAAUUUCUUGGAUAAAUCAAAAUGUGUGCUUAAGACUUUCUCGUCCCAAAGUAGCAAAAAUAUUAUGUCCCGUAAGUUAGGACACAACACUUUGAACUUUGGAGAAUGAACUUGCCUUUAUUUUUUAUUUUAAAUCUUAUUAUUUUGAUUUUAAAAGGAUAUUCGGUUAUUUGAGUUCAACGAGAGAAUCGAAACCCCGUAAGUUAGGUACGAUUUCCUGAAUCUCCAAAAUAUGAAUUAUUGCCUAUUCUUUUGAAAAUUUUCCAUUUUUAUGAAAUUGGAUGAAAAUUAAUGAUAUUUAAAAUGAUAUGCAAUAUAAAAUAAAAUAUUAUAAUAACCAUGACGUAAUUACAAAGAUGAAUGCAAUAUUGUUUGGUGGAAAAUGUUUUCCGAAAAAUAUUUUCUGAAUUUUCCAGCGUUUGUUUGGUGGAAAAUGAAUUCCUAAAGUAAAACAUUUUCCAAACACGGGUAAAAUUAGUCCCCAAUUUUUGGAAAACGUCUUACUAAUUUGGAAUCAGUAAGAAAUUUUCCCGUUCUCCCUUCUCUACACUCUCGUUCUCCCUGCCUCUCUAAACCAAUCUUAGGGCUCAUUGAGCUGGUUCCGGGCUAUUUUUCCCCCUUGAUUUCUUCUCCUUUUUAUAAAUUAAUUUGGGGCUUUUCAUCACUGUGUGUUGUUUUUGUCUGGGAUCUCUUGCAUGGGUUUUCUGCUAGUUUGGGUUCUCUGUGCUCAGGCUUUCUACAAAUUCUGCUCUUCCUCUCUUGCUUGGGUCGGGUUUUUGUUACCGUUUUGUAGCCUGUGGCGUUUGGCUUGUCUUGGGCAAACUUUCUUCGCUGACUUUCUUUAGAAAGGUAUAUUUUCUAUUUUCACUUCCAUUUUCUACUUAUUUUUUAGACGCAAAAUUUCUUAGCAAUUCUUUUAUCUUGAACAAACAAUGUUUUGAGGUUUUGGGUCGUUUCAUAAAGUAGAAAAGGAAUCGAACUGUUAAUAUUCUUAAGAUUGAGAAAUUGAGGACACGUUUGGUUCGCUGUAAUGGAAUAGAGGCGUAAUAGUAAUUCAACUGUUUGGUCGAAUGGAAUGGAAUAGAGCUAUAAUAGUAUUCUUGUGUUUGGUUGAAUGGAAUUAUGUUGUAAUAGCAUAAGGAAAAAAACUAAAAUGAGUAUACCCUUAGCAGAAUUUUUUUAGGUAGAUGAUUAUUAUUAUUCUUAUUAAAUUUUAAUAAGAUUAUUAAUAUAAAUAAUAAAUAAUAUAAUCAUAUUUAACAUAAUUAUUAUUAAAUAUAAUUUAAUAAAAAAUAUAUAAUUUAAUAAAAUUCUUAAUAUAAUUAUUCUUAUAUUAAUUUCCUAAAAUCAUAAUAUAUAAUAAUCACUACACCAAAACAGGUUUUUAGCGGCGUUUGGAUAAAAAACGUCGCUAAAAAUUGAGCAUUAGCUGCGAUUUACGUCAAACGCAGCUAAAGAUCGAGCAUUAGUGGCGCUUCCAAGAAAGCGCCUCAAAAAAUGAGCAUUAGCGGCGUUUAUCCAAAAAACGCCGCAAAAAACGUAAACCCAACGGCAUCGUUUUUGACCUUUCGGGGCUUUAGCGGCGCUUUUUCAAAAGCGCCGCUAAUACUCGGGUCUUUAGCAGUGCUUUUCCCAAAAUGCCGCUAAUGCUCUAGUCUUUAGCGGCGCUUUUUCAGAAGUGCCGCUAAUGCUCGGGUCUUUAGCGGCGCUUUGUCAAAAAUGCCGCCAAAGCUCGGGUCUUUAGCAGCGCUUUUUCAAAAAUGCCGCUAAUGCUCGUGUCUUUAGCGGCGCUUAAUCCCAAAUUGAUCCUCCAUACCAAAAUGAGUGGAAAUGAGUUUAAAAGAUGUCCAAAACAUUAACAUUUAAACAUUUGUUAAGAAAUUUUCUUUUGUUUUCAAUAUAAAUGGCUUAAAAAAUGAAAAAAAAGUCUUAAACUUUGUUUGAUUAAAAAUUUUCGUAUAUAAAAAGGAACAUAUUUAAAUUUAUGUGGAUGGUUUUUAUUUAGUUUCAUUAAUAUAGGGAGAUUAAAGAUUGGUGGAGAUUUUACCUAACAAAUUAUUAUAGAAAGAGAGAAGAUGGAUUUAACACCUUUUGAGAAUCCAUUCCCCAAUGAGUUGUAUGGUGUAUCAAUUACGCAUGUAUGAAUAUAUUUUCCUUCCACCAUGUGCUGCCACGAAACUUAGGGCCAAUAUUGUGGAUUCCCGGAGAAUUAGAAGAUAAAAGAAAACCUAUAGGAGAUUCUUGUAAGAGUUACUGGUUUAAGAUUGGUUUUGGAUUUUGUAGGAAAGAUAUGCUGCAUCAAUUACACAUGGGGAUUUAAUACAAGUUGGAUCAUUUUCCUCAUCAGCUAACAUUUUCUUAUGCUAGUUUAGAUCCAAAUCCACACACCCAAUUUUGAUUUGCGCUUCCAUCAAACUAAUUCUUUUUACUGUGAAAAACAUAUUAUUUCAGUAAUAAAUGUUGAAUCAACAUUAUUUUAAUAAUAAAUUAUUUUAUUCCUUUUACUAUAGUAUUUUUUUCCCAUCAUGUUGAUUUAGGUAUAGUUUGGAUAGACAUUGCGUUUACUUGUGUUUAGUAUAAAAACAACAGUGACGAUAAAAUUAGAUAAAAGUGAACUAAUCGCACCGCACUGGCCAUCCAAAUCCAAGUACCAUACUCUUCUUUUAGUUUUUUUUAAACCCUAAAUAAGAAAGACAACCUCAUUUAGCGAAGUCAUUAACCCCUUUCUUAAAUUUCCAUAAUAAAACUCAUACCCUAUUCAAAAACCCUAUUUUAACAAAAUUCAACUAUCUUUGAAUUAUUCGUAACCCUAUAUUUAUAAUACAGACGUGGUGAUCAGUUAGACCUUUAAUUACUUAACAUACUUUUUUUUUAUUGACUAACAUCUCUUGUUUUUAUUGACUCCUUUAAUUUUAAUUUAAUAAUUUUAUAAUUUAAUCUAAAGAGGUCAAAUUCGAAUUAUUUUUUUGAUAUAAUUUUUAAUUUAACAAGAGCUGAAUCAUACUUUAUAGGAUUUGAACCUUGGACGAUAGGUUUGAAGACCCACAUGCUACCGAACUAAACUAAUAUCACUUUCUUAUCAUAAUAAAUAAAAUUGUAAAAAAAAUCCUUUUAUUUUAUAACCCUAAUACAAUACAUUGUAUGUCGUAUAUAUAUAAUAUGAGAAAAUGAUAGAUUGAGCAAAAUUGCAUCAUAGGUUGUGUUCAAAAUUCAAAUUCUUUUUGGUUUAGAGGGUUUUAUGUUUGGUUAGUGAUAAGUUUUUUUUCUUUCGCAUGUGAUUUAUCUUUUCGAUAUGUAGGGUGAAGGAUUUAAAUUGUGGAAUGUUUGGUUUAUAUAAGCAGCUUAAGGUAAGAAAAGAAAAGCAAGAUAAAAUUUGAAAGAUGAUCCCAUUGUUGACUGAUUCAUUUACUGCGAGCUUCUCCCUCAUAUUGUAGCGACACUGAUGUACAAAAUAUUUCAAAGAUGUACAAAUUUUUCGAGUUUAAAAACUACAUUGAGUGUAUUUUCGUAGGAGUUCAGUUGAUUUAAAAACUACAUUAAAUGGUUUAGGAUUUAAGGUUUACUUCAGAUUUGUUAAAUGAUGAAAUUUUAUACAAUAAAUUAAUACUUUUAUAUUUAAAAAUAUUUAAUCUAAAAUAUUCGAUAUAUUUAAAUAUUAGAUUUAAAAAAAUUGAUAAAUAAAUAAAGUCACUUAACUAAUAAUUUUUGGUAGAUAAAAUAAAAAAUUUUUAACAGAGCAAAACGACGUUAUUUUAUCAAUAGAUAAGCAAUAAUGGCGUUUUUUGUAAAAACGCCACAAAAUUUAUUUUACUUAGAAAAAAAUUUGGCGCUGAUUUUUCCCAAAUUUUCCCCCUAAAACCCCUAACUUUGCAAACAAAAUGAAAAAAAGAAGAGGAAAAUGAAGGUACCAAAGACGAUUCAGCACAAAACCUCUCCAAUCUACUUACGAGUUCUACCGUUUGUUUCCCUGGAAAAUAUAUGAGACUUAAUAUUUUCUGUUCCAUUUUUCCUCUUUAUUUUCUAAUUUUGGGUAUUAUUUACUCAGAUCCCCUUUCUUUUUAUUAUUGUUUUUUUUUUCUCUUAUAUUUUAGCUAGAAAUCGACGAUGCAAGUUACUGCUGGUAACAAGUUAUUGCUUAAAAUUCAUCGUAACAAAUCUACUUCAAAGGAAGUUAUUCAUAUUCCUUCGUAUCGAAGCGAAGUUAUUUACGGUGGAACUUGGUUCUCCAGCUCUCGUAAGUUUGUUCCCAGUUUUGUAUUUGCCAUCUAUACCAGGUUUACCUCUCUUACUUCUCUUCGUCUUCAUCUCCCUUUCAUUUAUUCUACCAAAAACGCCUCUUACUUGUCAUUUUUUUCUCACAUAUCGUGCAAGACUCAUUUUUCUUUCUUUAUGCUCUAGUCUUAACAGUGCACUUCAACUGUUCAAUAUAAUGCUUCUUUAUACAAUUUGUUUCUGGUUUUCAGGGGGUGUUGUUUGUAAGAUGUUGAAGCAAGCGAUAUGGAAGGUGUUGAGCAAAAGGGUAGUUUCAGAUUCUGGUGAUAAACUUCUUUUGCCUUGUUUGUACUUGCCCACGACUUCUUUUCACGCUGGACAGGUAGGUACUCUUUUUUUUUCUUUUAACUCUUACUUUAGUUUUUUUUAUGGAUACCCAAUUGUUAAUUUAUUAAAUAAUAAAUCUUUAAUAAUAAACCUAAAUUUAUGGCAUUUGAAUUAUUUGUAGAAUUUGAAUCAUAAAAACAUUGUCAAGUAUCUUGGAUCAUUGAAGACAACAAGAAGUUAGGUUUUGUAGUCUCUGUCUGGAAUUCUUGCUCUGAAGUUUGUCUAUUUUAUACGAGUUGAGUUUUCAUGGUUUGCUGUUGCAUUGUUUCUUCUGUUCUUUGUUUUGUUAUUGGAACUAUUUCCAAUUGUCUGGUUUACUUGAAAUCCGAUAUUUGAUUAAAGGGACCAAGUAGAGAGCACAAGUGAGAGCGAAGGCAGUGCAAGUGAUGAAGUGCUUGUUGUUCCUUAUGAUAACUUAGCACCUAUUUCUUGUGGUAAUAUUUUCUCAUUAUUCUUCUACUUUUGAAUUUAUUGUAUUCCAAAUAUAGCAUCAAGAAAAAUAUAAUAGUACAUUAGAGUUCAGCUUGUAUAAUUUGUUUGGAUUCUUUCUGUCUUGAAGCAGAUAUUACUGAAUCUAAGCAGCUUUUAGAUAAGCUUGUUGUGGUGAAGUAUAAUAGAGCUUUGGGAAAGAAUAUGGGUUUCGUUGGUCCCAAGUAAGCAAUUAUCUAACUUCUGGAAGUUUGAUACUUAUUUUUUUCCAAGAAAAGAGAAGCAUUUCUUGAUGAUUCCAUAGUUAUAUAUUAAAGACUUGCCUCUACAUAAAUGAAUAUAGUUUCUAUGACAUACAUAUAUUUAUGUAUGCUUUUUAUAUAUGCCUCUACAUUCAUAUAUUUAUAUAUGCUUUUUAUAUUGUAUUGUGCCAAAUAAAGAGAAUAAAAGUUUUAAUUAUUGAUAGAUUCUGCUACUUUUUUUAUGUACUUUUUAUUAAAUCACUCUUUAAUCAAAUGUAGAAUUAUAAAAUUAUUAAAUUUUACUAUAAAUAAUUAUCCUUAUAUAAUUAAUUAUUUUAGUAAAUUUUCCAACUAUCAAAACAGAUCACUCCACCAUCCCACGUCAAAAUUUUGUUAAGGGUAGGAGUUGAGAGAGGUAGAUACUUUGAUGAAUAUUUUCUUUUACAUGAUAAUUAUAUACUUCUUUAAGUUUGUUUUGGAUGUUGGGACAAUGUCAGUUGAUGCCGAAAUUUGAUAGUGCUGCAAAUUGAAGUGUUUAAGUGCUGCAAAUUGAAGUAUUUAGUUGCUGCAAAUUGAGAUGUUUUAUCGCUGUAAUUGAGGUGUAUAAAUGUUGUUAAUUGAUAUGUUUAAGUGCUGCAAAUUGAAGUGUUUAAAUGCUGUAAAUUGAAGUGUUUAAGUGCUGCAAAUUGAAGUGUUUAGUUGCUGGAAAUUGAGAUGUUUUAUUGCUGUAAUUGAGGUGUAUAAAUGUUGUUAAUUGAUAUGUUUAAGUGCUGCAAAUUUAAGUGUUUAAAUGCUGUAAAUUGAAGUGUUUAAGUGCUGCAAAUUGAAGUGUUUAAAUGCUGUAAAUUGAAGUCUUUAAGUGCUGCAAAUUGAAGUAUUUAGUUGCUGGAAAUUGAGAUGUUUUAUCGCUGUAAUUGAGGUGUAUAAAUGUUGUUAAUUGAUAUGUUUAAGUGCUGCAAAUUGAAGUGUUUAAGUGCUGCAAAUUGAAGUGUUUAGUUGCUGCAAAUUGAGAUGUUUAACGCUGUAAAUUGAAGUGUUAAAGUGCUACUUUCCAUUGUCACCUCCCCCAUUUCUUUAUGCAUCAAUAACUAUAUUAAUGAAAUCAAGUACUACAAUUAUAUACUAUUGCAGAUGGGGGUUGGAGAAUAUGAUCAAGGGGAAAACAUCAGAUAUGGUGAUUCCUAGCCAAGCAGUGGCUUCUUAGACACCCAACAUUUUGCACAACCAAACAUGACCACAACUUUUAAACCUACAUGUUGAGGUUGCUACACACAAGUCCCUUCCUUUUUUUAGUUUAUGUGCUAUGUGAUGAUUGUGUUUUAAAAUUUAACUUGUUUUAGUUCCUUACAUUCUUAUACGAUUCACACUCAAGGAGCUAGAUUUGGAGCUUAAACUGUCACUGUAAUCAGUAAUUUUUUUUUUGCUUCUUUAAAUGCAUGCUCAUGGAACUACAUCUUAUGCUUUCCUAGAAUUGUAAGUUCAAAUAAGGUGUUGAUCUGCAAUUUAUACAUACAACUUGAGCAAGUUGAUAUGAACUAGUUUCAAUUUUUUUUUUUAAAUGAAAGGAAUGUUAUGUAAUCAAAGGCAAUUUGACUUGUUGCAUGAGAUAUAGUGAAAAACAUUUAUCUUCUUAUUCAUGAAUUUCCAUUUUAAUACGUCUUCAAAUUAAAUUAUACAUUUUUUAAUUGGUAGAAUCUCACUUUUGCUGUUGCUGCAAUCUUUAACCAAAGAAUGGAGUGAUGUAUGUACUGAUAACAGUUCUAAAGGAUUUGUUUAAGCAAGUAAAGAGAUUGGCGUUUUUAUAAUAAUUUAGGAUAGGAAUGGAGCAAAUCCAAAGAAUGGAGUGGCAUUUUUAUAAUAAAUUUUUUUAUUUUUCGUGACCUUUACUAGCGUUUUUGGAGAAAGCGCCGCUAAAGGUCUUGUUUUUUAGCGGCAUUUUUGGGAAAAGUGCCGCUAAAGGUCUUAGUCUUUAGCGGUGUUUGUGGUAAAAGCGCCACUAAAGGUCUUGGUCUUUAGUAGUUUUUGUGGGAAAAGUGUCGCUAAAGGUCCUGGUUUUUAGCGGCGUUUGUGGGAAAAGCGUCGCUAAAGGUCUUGGUCUUUAGUGGCGUUUGGGGGAAAAGCGCUGCUAAAGGUCUUAGUCUUUAGCGGUGUUUGUGGGAAAAGCGCCGCUAAAGGUCUUGGUCUUUAGCGGCGUUUGGGGGAAAGCACCGCUAAAGGUCCUGGUUUUGAGCGGCGUUUGUGGGAGAAGUGCCGCUAAAGGUCAUGGUCUUUAGCUGCGUUUUUUCCGGCUAAAAAAGUGCCGCUAAAAGCCUGUUUUGGUGUAGUGAAUAUAAAAAUAAUAUAUAAUCUCAUUUAUUAUUUUUAAAUCGCAAUACAUAUUUAAUGUGCUAAAAUAUCAUUAGUGAAUCAAAUAAUUUAAUUAUUCUACAAAAAAAUAGAAGUAAUAAAUAACUUGAAAAUUAUAUUUUGCAUAAAUAUAAUAUUCAAAUAUUAACAAACAUACCCUAAAUCAAAUUUCAUGUAUAAUUUUAAAAUUUACCCCAAAGAUUUAGUGUACUUCUUGACCUGAACUUGACAAUUAAGUUUAUUUUAGUACUUGUAUAUUUUUUGUCCACUUUAAUAAUUGAACUUGACAAUUAGAUAUAUUUUAAUCUUUGAACUUGAAAUAUAUAAAAUUUUAUUGACAUAACACUUUAAGAUUGUCUCACAUCAUUAAAUUUGGACGGAAUAUAAAUUCAUAGUCAAAAUAGACCUACUUGUAAAGUUAGAUACUAAAGUAGACCCCAACAACAUAUAUAAGUAUCAAAAUGAAACUAGCUUACAAAGCAAAACUUCGUAUAAAAGAAGAUAAACAAAUUGUGCUACUUGAAGGGAACAACACUGGCACUGGAAAAACAUUCCGUGUUUGAGGACAUAAAAUCUCUUAAGCACUGCGUCCAGGUUAUGAGCUACUCACAGCAACACAGAUCGCUGGGAAAUAGUGUGCCAAAUUACCUUUUGUAUCUCUUCUUGGAACCACAUGGACAGGGAGCAUUACGGCUCAUUUCUCCACUCUUUACCAUAUUAAACUUGGUAAGAUCCAAUGGUGUUAAACCCGUUAGCUUUUGCACCUGCAAAAGAUAAAAAAAAACUAAUGACAUUUCCAAUGGAGAAAGAGAGAGAUGCAUAAACUAAUACUUGUCAUUGAUGUUUUAAACUGUGGGAGAAACAUUCAUCCGAACUCAAAUGCGAAUUUCAGCAACUGAAGAUGAAUGAAGGCAGACAUCUCAGUCUUUUAAGCAAUCUGGCAUUGAACCAAAAAAGCAUAACGCAGAUCAGCAGACCAAACAUCUGUAACUCUAUGUUAGUUCGACUCUUUCUUUUCCUUUAUGCAUCCAUGUUUGAUGCAAGUCUGGGACCAGAAUGAAUAUAGGGAGAUAAUCCUUUAAAAAUCCUCCAAAUACAUUAAAAAACUUGGACAAAAAAUGAACACAACACACCCGUGUCAAACAUAUAUAUCAGACACUCAAACUAUAGUCUGAACAACAAGAUAUACAAUCAUCAUUUUGACUCAGAUAAUAUGCAUAACUAACUCCCCUACCUUCUUAGACAAAUAUCUUACUUAUCUUUCAAAUAGCUCAUCCUACAUUCAACAUCAUAUUCACCGAGCAGCAGCCAAAAGACAAAAAUACAUUAACUUAGAGAAUUUAAGAUCAGACAAAUUGAGCAAUAGGCAUAAAGACACUAGCUCAUACGUUUUAAUCAUUCAACAUAUUAUCAGCAAAAACAUAACUGAAAAAAACCAGUGGUGAACCUACCACAGCAAAGUUCUUUGGCAUCGGUUUGCCUUCCUCUUUCAGCUUAACCAUCUUCUUAUGAACUUCUUUAGCCCAUGUGAACUUCGCAAGCGCAUUCUCAACAUAUAAUAAGGUACAAUCACACUGUUUUGCAGCUUCUUUCUUUUGACUCAGUUGGAGAUUCUAAAAAAAAAGUCAAAAUCUAAAUCCACAAUCAGCGAAUUCACCUACAGGGCUCCAACCAUGUUUUAUAGUUUGGACGAGAAAAGGCAGCACCUUCUUACAUGCAAUGUCAGUGGUCAACAGGACUGGAAUGCUCGCCUGUUUAUCAUGGUGGAAAUCAAAUUCUUAUAUAAAACAUAGUUAACAUUUCUCAGCAUAAAGCCUUCAUCUUUUGUGCAAACAAAUUUUAAAUUAACAGAACUCAACUAGUCGAAAUCACAAGCCAUUCAAAAAACAAUAGAAUCAGACAAACAUGUAAUAGAAUAAAAAUUUUCAUCUGUUCAAUCUGUUCAAUCGAACAAACAUUGAAAACAUUGAAAGAAUUUUCAUCUGUUCAAUCGAACAUGCAAUACAAAGAAAAGCUGAAUGGAAAACGCUAGAAACGAAUCAAAAUUAGGAGAACAAAAACAAAUAUUCCAGAUUUGAGCAAAAGCAAAACUAAAUCGAUUUUACAGAAAAGAGAAGAAAAGAAAAACAGGGAAAGAGUGUGAGAAUUUUUCGUUGUUGAUAAAAUGGAGAAAAGAAAAAAAACGAGAGAAGAAAAGAAAUGUACGAGAAUAAAAGAAGCAGAAAUCGAUGGAAGGGAAAAAAUUACCUUGCAAAACGUCGGAGAGGAUGAGCGCAGAAAACGAAAAAGAUGGUAACAAAUUGGGAGGGAAUCCCUAUUCCGCGCUUAAACAUCAGAAUGGCUAUUACAGCCAACGUGGGUAAUAGAUGCGGAACGGAACCAAACAUCCGUUUGGUGGUGGGCCUAGGGAAUUGGGGGGAAUGCAUACCGAUUCCCCCCAACCAAACAUACCUUGAGUUUGUUCUCUUAAGAGGAAAUGGUAAUGAGGUGUAAAAGCCAAGAGGAAAUGAUUAUCUUUACCGCUAGAAAUGAACAAGGUAUGUUAUUCAUAUUUUUCUCCGGAUGCAGGUUUUAAUUGGGCAAUAGUUUUACUUUUGUUAUAGCUAGAGGUUUUACUUGUCAUGCAUCUUACUGCAUUUGGUUAGUUUUAUGUUUUAUUGUUUUAUCUUUCUGGCAUUUUAUAUUUAGUUCUCCUAUUUUUUUAGACAAUUUCUGCAACAUUGGUUUCCUAUGACGUGAUAGUAUUUUUUUGUUGUAGUAGUGAUAACAUUUGUGGUUGGCAAGAUUCCUUUAACACGGUUUAUCUGGAAAGGUCUAUCUUUGGGUUGCUGAUAGUGUCACCGAGUGAAAUAAAUGCUAGUUGUGGCUCUUAUGAUUACAAACUAUUAGCUUAUUGGUAAAUUGAAUGUUCAGAUGUCAUGACUGAUGUAAAUUCACAUACUUUUAAACAUUGUGCAUCUUCUAAUUUUAUGAAUUUUAACAACAAAAAGUUUUCUAUACAUAAUGAUUAUUUGAUUACUGUAUGUUUGAUCUUGGAUUUCUGUUGCUAAACAUGAAUUGGAAUAAAAUGAAUGCUAGUUGUUCAUUUGAAUAACAAGAAUGAAAUAAAUGCUAGUCAAGGCCUCUAAAAGACUAAUUUAGUAAUUUGGCUGAAUUGAACCCUUAUAUCAUUAGGGAAUAUAACAGAAGAACUACUAAUAGUUUGAAUAGAACAUAAUGAACUGAUUAAUAAUACAUUUAAGAGGUAUGUUAGUAGCUGCUAGUCUCUAGUUCCUUGAGAGUUUGGUUGUUCAGAGUGUCGUCUAGGAUUGUAUUCUGUGCUGUCCAUGCAAGUGUAAUAAGAUUGACUAAGGUCUUUUCCCUUUGAAAUUGUUGAUCACUCAAUUAAGCUCAGUUGACCGGCUAUCAUGUCCUUGCUCAAUUAAGCUCUGCCAUAACUGCACGAAAGAACAACAAUUCCAUACACUCAUUACAAAGAAUACAAGUAGUGGAGUUCACGGACUAGACAAUUAAAGAGAACUUUACACAUGUAACCAAAUUCACCAAUAUGAGCAUUGAUAUCUCAUUUUUAUGAGAUCUUAUUAGAUUAUUGAUUAUGAAUAUGUUUACUCGAUCAUUUCAAGAUCAUGGUUUCAUUACAUGGAGUUGUUUGAUGGUGAAGGCAAUAAUACAUUUUUAAGAUUACUGCAGCCAAAAGAGUUGUUGCAAAGGAGACCAAAGUCCAGAACUCUUUUUCUUUUGUGCUUCCACAACUGAGUUCUCCAUUACCUCAACUUUCAGCUUCAAAUCUUGAGCUACUUGUCUCUUUCUGUCAUUGAUUGUUACUUUUAUGUGGUCUAAUAUUAGUUAUGCACUUGGACAAUGUUGUUGUUAUUAUGUGGUGUACUACUAAUUAUGCAUUUGGAUAAUAUUAUUAAUUUCUAGUAUUAAUUGUGGUUUGGAAGCUAAUUUAUAAUUAUUCAAUCCUUAUUUUUUAUUUUUUAACACAAUUAUAAAUAAUUUAUUUGACUUUGGUUGUUUUCAAUUUAUGACGGUUAAUAUUGUAGCUUAAUAAUUGAGUAUUUUGAUUUAUUUAUUUAUAAAUAAAUCAUUUCAAUAUAUGUAAAAAUAAUUUAAAAUAUAAAAAUUUAUUAAUAUGUAUAUAAAUUUAUUAAUAUAUGUAAAAACAACUUUUUCGGAAAAUAUUUUCAGGAAAUCUACCAAACAACAAAAAAUAUUUUACACAGAUUCAUCCAAACACUAGAAAAUAUUUUCAGUAAAUCAUUUUCCAGAAAAGUAAAUCAUUUUCAGGAAAUCAUUUUUCGAAAAACAUUUUACUGGCAAACAAACGAACCCUUAUUGCUCAUGGUCAUCAACCUAUAAACCCAAGAGCAUUAUUAGCUUCUAAAUCCAAAACACUAAUAUCAGCAUCCAACCCAACAAUGAUAGUCUUAUUGACUCAUUUAAACAAGUUUCCUUUGUCAAUCUAUAUUCUGUAUUUGGUAAUCUCCAAUAUGAUUUCAGAACAUACGAUAGUUGGAAGAAGAAUAGCAGCAAAGAUGCAAAGGGAAAUGACUUAUACGAGGAGGAAGAACCAUCUUUUGGGUGCAAACCUGUAUACCAUAUAAUAGGAUGUCCUGUAUAAUGUCACGAGAGCUAGUACCGUUGCCAAGCAGUAAUUACUAAUGCUAAUAUGAUGAACAGAAAAGGAUCCAGCCGUAAGAUAGUAUGGAUACUGAAAUGCGAGUGUCCGUAUGGAAACAGCAACUAAAAGCAUGUAACAGGUCCCAAAACAGGUCCCAAACAAGGAAAGUGUUAUGAGAAUCACUACACCAAAAUAGGCUUUUAGCGGCGCUUUUUUAGGCCUUUAGCAGCGCUUUUUAGCGCCACUAGCGCCGCUAAAAACGCCGCUAAUGACAGUGUCGCUAACUUUAGCGGCGCUUUUUCCACAAACGCCACUAAAGACCAAGACCUUUAGCGGCGCUUUUACCACAAACAUCACUAAAGACCAAGACCUUUAGCGACGCUUUUCCCACAAACGCCGCUAAAAACCAUGACCUUUAGUGGCACUUUUACCACAAACGCCGCUAAAGACCAUAGCUUUUAGCGGCGCUUUUCAAACAAACGCCACUAAAAAUAUAUCUUUUAAAAAAAUUAAUUUUUUUCAAAUAAUAUUUAUUUCUAUAAUAAAUAUUAUAUUAUGUUUUAAGGAUAAAUAAAAAAUAUUAUUUAAAUUAAAUUUUCUACAAAAAUUUUAACUUUAAAACUAAAUAUAAAUAUAAAAAUUAAUGAAUUUAAAUUUAGAAUUUAAAAUAAUAAAUUAAUAACACAAUUAAAAUCCAAAAGUUAGAACACUUAAGUAAAAAUAAAAAUUUAGAAUCAAAACUAAAAUAAAUGAUACAUAUGCAAGGUAAUAAAAUAUACAAUGCAUUUUCUUAAUCAAGUAAAUCUUGGUUACAAAACUAACACAGAAAAUAACACAGUAUACAGUAUGUUUUGUCUUUCACAUUUUAAAAAUAAUAAUAAUAGCAUGUUUGUUUGCAUGCUACCAUGAUCAAAACACAAAAAUGAAGUUCUCCACCUAAUACAAAUUUCUCCUACGAAUGUGCAGAAUCAGAUCUCUAGAUUCUCGGAGUUCUUCAUCUGGUGCUGUCUCGAUGGUUUUGAUUAUUGUGUCAUCUAGCUGGAUUCAAAAAAAAGAAUAGAAUGCAAAGCAUGUUAUACAUUUGGACUCCAAAUUUUUAGCAACUCAAAAGAAUGCUAAGAAUGUUGUCCAACCUUCCAGUACUCACAAGGAUCUUGAAUAAAAAUGAAAUCAGACCUCACCACUUCAUAUAAGAAGCCUACACAACUAAUUACACAAAAGAAAAAGAUGAGAAAAAAUAACAAUGUAAAAAAGACGUUUGAAUGAGAUAAUAUAGAACCCAGAGUUAACUCUGUGAAUACCUUCACUUUAGAGUGGGUGUACACAGUUCGAUAAAGAUCAGCACGAGUAGCAAAUAACUUGUGGAUACUAAGAUCUAGCAAGAGCACCCAUUACCAUUAUUAAGGAGUAAAAAAACACUAAAAGAACUAAACAUGUAUUUUGCAAGUAAAUGAAUUAGAUGAUACUAACAGUCUUUAGCACGAUAGCAGAUCUCAUCACCCAAAACUCGCAGUCUCCAUGAACCUGCAGGUGGUGUAGUAUGUAUAUUAAGUUUCACUUACUUAUCCACAUCAAUUCCAUUCUAACCAUUUGCAACAAUAUCAUAUAAGAAUUGCUUCUCCUUUGCACUCUUCAAAGUAAGCACAAAAUAGUGUAUGUGUUAGAUAAAGAAAAGAAACAAAGAAUGUUUGUACUUCAUACUGGAGCAAAAUAUAAAAAAUCCAGUGAUCAACAUGUGCCUACACUUAAAAUAUAAAAAAUCUAGUGAUCUACCGAAAUUAAACUAUUCAUCAAAAUGAUUGCAAUUAACUGAGUUAAAACAUGAUUUUUUUUCUUUUCUUGCAAAUAUCUAAAGUUUUUUAUACCUUCCCAAAUGGUGAAACAAGCUGGUGAAGUGCUGUAAUUCUGUCUCCUAAUUUUUCUUUCCUCACCUGCCAUAUAACAUAUAUAUGUAUAUAUACAAGUCAGAAAAAAAGAAAAAGUAGGUGAUUAAUUUACUAUUUUACUUUCACUUAAACUAUAUUCUCUUUUUCAUACAUUAAUAGAAUAUGAUAGUUACAGCAAAAAAAAAAGAAAAAGAAUCAUCCCUCUAGAAAUCGACAACCAAACAAGGACAACAGUUUUUACCACCCCACAUGUAUUUUGUGUAUGUGUAUAUAUAUAUAUGCUUGUGAGUGUGCGUGUGCGUGUGCGUGUGCGUGCAAUCUGUAUUGAGAUAAAAAAAAACAUAUAUUUAAUUAUAUAAAAAUUAUGAUAAAAGUAUCAUGGAAGUCCCUGUACUAAAAGGUGGAUUACAUUUUGCCCUUUUACUCAAAUGGUUUAAUUUAAACACUCAUUCAACAGCUAUUACCUAAAAUGCUACCACUUUUGAGGUAUAAAAUCAGUGGAAGUCUAAAUGAACAAAGUCCUAAGCCAAUCAAAACAAAGUCACCAAGAAAUGAAAAAACAAUCUGUUCUUAUCCUUUCGAAACAGUGACCAAAUACAAUGAAUUCAAAAGGUUGUCCUUUUCAUAUCUGCUUAUCAACCAAAUACGCAAUGAGAAAAAAAAAUCAUGAUCCGCCAGCAGAAAAGCUUGAAAUUUGAAUGGAUCAAAUGAAACAUAAAUCUAAUGUAAAACACACCUGGAGAAAGCUUAAAAGAAGAGCUUUGAUGAGAUUUUCUGGUGUGAGCUCUGGCUGACGCUGCUGAUAUCUUCCUUCUAACUUCCCCAUUAUCGUCCCUCAAAACCCAAUAAUCUGUAAAACGAAGACUCCCCCAAAUUACUUCAGAUGUCUCUCUUAAAUUCUAUUUAAAAAAAUUAAAAAUCUAUAAAAAAAAUCAGUUACUAUAAAAAAAAGAGAUAAGUGUGAAUUAAAAAUAUAAUCCCAAAUACUGAUUCAAUUGCAGACUGGGAUUUAUUUCUUACCUCAAAGGUACAGCAAUGGUUGUAACCUCUGUAACCUGUUUGUGAAACCUCUGUAACCUGUUUUACUAGUAAAGCCGAUAAUAAUCCAGAAACUGGUUGUAACCUCUUUGUAUUUGCCUGGGAAACCAGAAAUCUUCUCAUUAUCAGCAUAUGUUGAUUUUUUUUAUAAUGUCGCAGGGAGGGAGGGAGGGACAGAAAGCAAGAGAGACGGCGAAGAGUUUUAGGAGGGAAAAUUAGGGGUUUCGGGGAAAUUUGGGGCUAAAAUGGGGGGAGAAUUUUUAAAAGUGAAAUUAGGGUUUUUAGAGGGAAAUUUUGGGAUAAAACGGCGCCAAGUGAAAUUAUUUUUGCGACGUUUUAAAAAAAAAGCCGGGAAUGUACCUUUUGUGGAUUUUUUUUGAAAACGUCACUAACAAAUUUAAAUUCUUUUAUUGAAAUGACGUCGUUUUGAGAAAUAUUAAUACAUAGUAACGGCGUUUUUUGCUAAAAACGCCGCUAAAGCUCUCAUAUUUUUUAUAUUCAAUUAUUGUAUCUUUCAUAUAAAUUAUACAUAAAAGAAUUAUUAAAAUUUUAAGUAAUAUUUAAAAGAAUUAAAUAAUAUUAUAAAUUUAGUUUUCUUAUUUCAUUUUUAUUUUUGUAUUUUUUUCUUAUAAUUUGGUCCUAUCUAAAUUAAAUAAUUACCUAUAUAUCCAUAUCAAAUAUAUCAAAUGGUUUAAAUUAAAUAUUUUUAAAUAUAAAAGCAGUAAUUAAUUGUAUAAAAUUGUAUCAUUUAACAAAUCUCAAAUAAACCUUAAACCCUAAAUUAACCAUUCAAUAUACAUAAAGUCUAUCUAUUAUAUAUCUCUUACAUAAUAUAAACUAUACUCAUAAUUUCAAUAUAUUAAAUUUAUUAUUAUCUCUUUUACAAUUAUAUAAGAACAUAUUUAAUAUAUAAAUUAAAAAAUCAAUUAAUCUAAACCCUAAACCUUAACCCGACCCUUGAAACCCUAAAUCCCUAACUCCUAACCCCUAACUCUUAACCCCUAAACCUUAAAUCCCAACCCUUAAACCAUAAUCCCUAAAUCUAUAUAUAAUCCCCGAACCUUAAAAUAGUAACUCCUAAACUGGCUUUAAAUAUUAAAUUAACCAUAUACCGUAAACCAUAUAAACCCUAAACUAUAAUGAUAAUUAAUUAAAUAUUUUAAAAUUAAUACUAUCUUAUCUUUUUCAAUUAUAUAUGAAAUUAUUUAAUAUAUAAAUUAAAAAACAUCAAUAAAAUAUAAAUUAAAAUGCUUUUUUUUGGAUAAUUUAAUGAAUAUGGCAGGAUUAACUCUAAACCCCUAACCCCUAAAUUCUAAACUUAGCCCUAAACCUUAAACCCCAACCCUUAAACCAUAAACCAUAAACAAUAAUCCCUAAACUAUAAUGAUAAUUAAUUCAAUAUUUUAAAAUUAAUACUAUCUCUUUUACGAUUAUAUAAGAUAUUUUUAAUAUAUAAAUAUCAAACACGUCAUAGACACUUAAAACUUUGAGAUAGUUAUACUAUUUUUUAUUUCACUUAUAGGAACCUCAUACACUCAAGCACUGCAAGUCUUUUGUGAAUUAACCAAUGGUUAUGAAGAUCUACUACUUACGGUUAUCAAUGCCAGCUGGAAUCACAAAUAUUAACAAGAAUCAGACAUAGAUAGCAAAAUUAAUCAAGCACUUUCAAGGGACAUUCUAGCAGUUCUUUAAAGAAAUGGAUUUCAAUCCAAAAUUCAACAGUUCUGUAACUAGCCUAGCAGACAGAUGGAAAAAUAAUAUUUAUUUUAGAGAUCAGUCUACCUCUUAAGUGGAAUAACUUUCUAUAAACUUUAACCUUGUGAACUUUUUUAUUAAUAUAUUUCUUCUAAUACUUCUUAGAGAUAAUCACAGUCAAGAGAUUCAACCAUUAAGAUUCAAUGGAUGGUUAAUAUAAGACCAAACAAAGACAAUGCAUCUAAUUUAAUAAGCUCAGCAGUGCUCACGAAUAAAGCAAAACAGUGUAUAAGAAAUUAUUUAGUAUGUAAAUUAAAAAACACUCAGUAAUGUACCCAAAAAACUUAAAAACUAUUUUAAAUAAUAGUAUUUUAAAUCAUGUACCCAAAAAACUUAAAAAUAUUUUUUGCGGCGCUUUUUAAAAAACGCCGCUAAAAAUAGAGCAUUAGCGGCGCUUUAUCAAAAACGCCGCUAAAGACCAGAGCAUUAGCGGCGCUUCUUCAAAAAUGCCGCUAAAGACCCGAGCAUUAGCGGCGCUUCUCCAAAAACGCCGCUAAAGACCCGAGCAUUAGUGGCGCUUAUUCAAAAACGCCGCUAAAGACUCGAGCAUUAGCGACACUUCUUCAAAAACGCCGCUAAAGACCCGAGCAUUAGCGGCACUUCUUCAAAAAUGCCGCUAAAGACCCGAGCAUUAGCAGCGCUUUUCGAAAAAUGCCGCUAAAGCCCUGAAAAAUCAAAAAACGAUGUCGUUGUGCUUGGGUUUUUUGCGACGCUUUUUGAAAAAUGCCACUAAUGUUCAUUUUUAGCGGCGUUUUCCAAAAAACGCCGCUAAUACUGGAUCUUUAGCGGCGUUUUUCCUAAAGCGCCGCUAAUGCUUGAUUUUUAGCGGCGUUUUUUGUUCAAACGCCACUAAAAACGCCGCUAAAAGCCUAUUUUGGUGUAGUGAAUAAACAAGUAGAUUGAACGGCUGGGUAGGAGAUAGGCUGUUAAAACAGUUGUUGCCCAAAAGGUUAAAGUGUUGUAUAACCAAAACAUUGUGCACACGUUUAGUAUAGGUUCUAUUUUUUUUUCUUCAGCGGGUGGAGGACUUGGUACGGGUCCAGUGCUGGUUAAACCUAAAGAUGCGUCAUACUUGAGUUGGAAAUUCUGGGAAUUUGAAAUGGUACCAGGCUGCUUUGGAGGGUUCAAAGUGGCAGUGUAUGUGGCUGUUAUAAUUAGCACUGUGACUACUAAAAAUGUGUUACGC
rnacentral:lncRNA from 1 species